GAUGAACGCUAGCUACAGGCUUAACACAUGCAAGUCGAGGGGCAGCAUGACGAUAGCUUGCUAUUGUCGAUGGCGACCGGCGCACGGGUGAGUAACGCGUAUCCAACCUUCCCGUUGCUAGGGGAUAACCUUGCGAAAGUAAGACUAAUACCCUAUGAAGUUCUUCGCAGGCAUCUAAAGAGAACGAAAGAUUUAUCGGCAACGGAUGGGGAUGCGUCUGAUUAGGUUGUUGGCGGGGUAACGGCCCACCAAGCCUACGAUCAGUAGGGGUUCUGAGAGGAAGGUCCCCCACAUUGGAACUGAGACACGGUCCAAAACUCCUACGGGAGGCAGCAGUGAGGAAUAUUGGUCAAUGGACGGAAGUCUGAACCAGCCAAGUAGCGUGCAGGAUGACGGCCCUAUGGGUUGUAAACUGCUUUUAUGUGGGAAUAAAAGUGAGGGACGUGUCCCUUUUUGUAGGUACCACAUGAAUAAGGACCGGCUAAAUUCCGUG
rnacentral:rRNA from 1 species